CUCUCAGGAGCCACAGCUGGAGGUAGGCAGGGAGCACUAAACUGGCACCAGCAAACACUCACUGUCCAUCCUGGGCAGGGUCCCAGCAAAGCUGGCUGGGCCAGGAUGUGUGCAUGGACAUGACCUGGGCUGCUACAAGAGUAGUUUGAGGACCAAGGCUGGUCAAGAGCUGUUUCCCUGGCUCACAGUAACAUCCCAGCAAGACGGUGUGCUGCUUGUGCUGAGGCCGAGGCCAUGGAAACUGUCAUGGGCACAAGAUUAAGAACCCUCCAAGCAACACCCCAACACUUGAAGGACAUAGACCCCCAGCUGUGGAGUGACUUGUUGCCGCUUGGUCAAGGCACAGGCAGCAGUGACACUUAUCCUAAAAGAGGCAGGUGCUGACAUGUUACAGAGGAGGAAACUGAGGAUCUACUACAAAGUGGUAAAGAGAAGACUGAUCCCAGGUCUGUAGGUCCAGGACAGCCUCCUUCCACCAGGCCAGGUGCUGGGUACGCAACUGGGCAAGGAGCCAGAGCUGCCUCUGAACUGAGCCACAGACUUGGAGACCGGCCCCCAGGACUCCUUCAAGAAGAGCAGAAAAACACAGGACGUGAAUCACUGGUCACAAUCACUUGGACUGUCAAGAUGGGUCCUCACAGCGAGCAGUUACUACAGACGGCAAUUUUUAAAACAGGCAGAUUAAAAAUACAGAGUCAAAUGAGA